rnacentral:rRNA from 1 species
UGGGGAAUAUUGCACAAUGGGCGCAAGCCUGAUGCAGCCAUGCCGCGUGUGUGAAGAAGGCCUUCGGGUUGUAAAGCACUUUCAGCGAGGAGGAAGGUGGUGAACUUAAUACGUUCAUCAAUUGACGUUACUCGCAGAAGAAGCACCGGCUAACUCCGUGCCUGCAGCCGCGGUAAUACGGAGGGUGCAAGCGUUAAUCGGAAUUACUGGGCGUAAAGCGCACGCAGGCGGUUUGUUAAGUCAGAUGUGAAAUCCCCGGGCUCAACCUGGGAACUGCAUUUGAAACUGGCAAGCUAGAGUCUCGUAGAGGGGGGUAGAAUUCCAGGUGUAGCGGUGAAAUGCGUAGAGAUCUGGAGGAAUACCGGUGGCGAAGGCGGCCCCCUGGACGAAGACUGACGCUCAGGUGCGAAAAGCGUGGGGAGCAAAACAGGAUUAGAUACCCUGGUAGUCCACGCUGUAAAACGAUGUCGAUUUUGGAGGUUGUGCCCUUGAGGCGUGGCUUCCGGAGCUAACGCGUUAAAUCGACCGCCUGGGGAGUACGGCCGCAAGGUUAAAAC